GUAGUCCACACCCUAAACUAUGUCAACUGGUUGUCGGGGGAUUAACUCCCUUGGUAACGAAGCUAACGCGUGAAGUUGACCGCCUGGGGAGUACGGCCGCAAGGUUAAAACUCAAAGGAAUUGACGGGGACCCGCACAAGCGGUGGAUUAUGUGGAUUAAUUCGAUGCAACGCGAAAAAACCUUACCUACCCUUGACAUGUACGGAAUCUCCCAGAGAUGGGAGAGUGCCCGAAAGGGAACCGUAACACAGGUGCUGCAUGGCUGUCGUCAGCUCGUGUCGUGAGAUGUUGGGUUAAG
rnacentral:rRNA from 1 species